rnacentral:lncRNA from 1 species
CAAUAAAAACUUUUUUAAGUAUUUAAACUUAAGAGUGUCAUAUUCGACCUCGAAGUUUGUGAUUAACGGGGCUGAGGUUAAGGCUACUUUUUCCCCAGAAAGAAACAACACUUUAUUGGCCUCUGCACUACUGCUGGAGAAAAGGACAUUAUAUAUUGUUAUUGAUUACCCACGUGUGUAUAAAAUGUAUCAUGUCAGCAAAAGAGAGAAUGGAUAACUUAAACUUUGAUUGUGACAGUUAACUCGGGUAAAGUUACCGUAAACGAGAUAGAGAAAACUAAACUCGAUGUCACUUAGGUACUCCUCGGGAUGUAUAUAUGCAAGCGGAGAGAAGAGAAAGGUCAAUCGAGUUGGCACUUCUUACUAUCUCGACUUUUCUGUAUAUCCAAUUGACACAAUCAAACAGACAUCGCUCGGUGAUUUCAUACAAUUUAUAUUGUUACCCGAAUGUAAAUAAUGCAACUGGGUUGAAUGUUUCUACUGCAACAUUAUAUUGAGCUUAACAUUUUAUUUUUAUGCAUACACACAAAUAAAUAAAGUGGAUGUUGGAUAUAUAUUUGUGGACAGUCAAGAGGAGAAUUAUAGGGCUUAAGUAAACGAGUUGUGCAUUGAAAUCACGUUCAACAGCAUGCAUAUUUAUUUUGCGACGAACCUCAAAUCCAAGGCCUCGUAGACUUCGCAAAAAGUCAUGUGUGCUGUUUUCACACAUGUGGGAGUAGAAAAUGUCAACCGUUAUAUUUUUUCGAUUUAUUAAGUCUGUUUUUAUAUAAAAUAUUCAUAAGCUAGUUUAAUUA